UCCCAAGGGUCCGGCUGUUCGCCGGUUAAAGCGGUACGCGAGCUGGGUUCAGAACGUCGUGAGACAGUUCGGUCCUUAUCCACUGUGGGCGCAGGAAAUGUGACGGGUUCAUUCCCUAGUACGAGAGGACCGGGAAUGACGUACCUCUGGUGUUCCGGUUGUCGCGUCAGCGGCAGCGCCGGGUAGCUAAGUACGGAAGAGAUAAGCGCUGAAAGCAUCUAAGCGCCAAGCUCAUCCGAAGAUGACAUUUCCCCAUUAGGGACGUGGUAGAUAAUCACGUUGAUAGGUCGCAAGUGGAAGCACGGUAACGUGUUUAGCUAAGCGAUACUAAUUUCCCAAUUGGCUUGAUCUC
rnacentral:ncRNA from 1 species